AAUUCUUAAAUUUAUAUACACACAAACAUGUAGAAAAAUAUUUAGUUGCUUAUAUACAAGCGGUCAUCAAAAAGUAUAAAAAAUUGAAAUUGUUUAAAAACAUAAAUAACUGUUUAAUUCGUAUUCAAGCGGAAGAAGCGAUUUUAAAAAACAUAGACAACAUGGUCAUGAAAUACCUAAAAAACCUAUCAACUGAUUUUCAAAUUUUAAGCUGCGCUCUACGUUUAACUGGUGAUAAGUUAUUGUCCCUUUGGCUUAAUAAUGAAAAGUCAGGAGAUUUGUUCGGUCUGGAUAUACAGCCUCUUGUGGAAUGUCCCAUAUCAAAAUUAAACUAUAACAUGGAAUAUAAACAUAUUGUAAUGAAAUAUUUUCAUAAAUUUUAUAAAAUACAAAAUAUAAUUUUAAAUUCAAAACAUUUCAUUUAAGUGUUUUGUUUUAGCUUGAUAUCACCGCUUUAUUAACUUGAAAAAUAAAAAUAUAGAAAGACGAACUAGCGGAUAUAAA
rnacentral:lncRNA from 1 species